rfam:Stegodyphus mimosarum contig43597, whole genome shotgun sequence.
GCCUUCGUGGUGUAGUGGUCUGCAUGCUCGAGGCGUAAUCGAGAGGUCGAUGGUUCGAUUCCCGGCGAAGGCG